GAUGAAGAACGCAGUGAAAUGCGAUAAGUAAUGUGAAUUGCAGAAUUCAGUGAAUCAUCGAAUCUUUGAACGCACAUUGCGCCCCUUGGUAUUCCGAGGGGCAUGCCUGUUCGAGCGUCAUUAUAACCCCUCAAGCUCAGCUUGGUGUUGGGGCCUGCUGCACUGGCAGCCCUUAAAAUCAGUGGCGGCGCCAUCUGGCUCUAAGCGUAGUAAUUCUUCUCGCUAUGGAGUCCUGGUGGAUGCUUGCCAUCAACCCCCAAUUUUUCUAUGGUUGACCUCGGAUCAGGUAGGGAUACCCGCUGAACUUAAGCAUAUCAAUAAGCGGAG
rnacentral:misc_RNA from 1 species